AGCCCCGCAAGAGUCCAAAAUGCAAAUUUGGAGACGCACCCCUAAAGGGUGCCGGGGCUUC
rnacentral:tRNA from 1 species